rnacentral:rRNA from 1 species
GUGCCAGCAGCCGCGGUAAUACGAAGGGGGCUAGCGUUGCUCGGAAUUACUGGGCGUAAAGGGCGCGUAGGCGGCGCUGCAAGUCAGGCGUGAAAUUCCUGGGCUUAACCUGGGGGCUGCGCUUGAGACUGUGGUGCUAGAGGACGGAAGAGGGUCGUGGAAUUCCCAGUGUAGAGGUGAAAUUCGUAGAUAUUGGGAAGAACACCGGUGGCGAAGGCGGCGACCUGGUCCGUUACUGACGCUGAGGCGCGACAGCGUGGGGAGCAAACAGGAUUAGAAACCCGUGUAGUCC